GGUUCAUUCACCAAAGAAGCUGCAUGGAAGAAAGAACAGCAAGCUGCCACAACCGCAAGAUUCCACUCCACAAACACGGUGCAUUCCACCAUGGGGGCAUCAUCCAUGUUGAGGGGACCCAGUGAGGGACAUGGAGAUCAUCUACCAGGAGCCGAGCCCAAAGGACGAAGAGAUGAUGGUCCCCAUUAUUGACAAGCUGGAGAAGACGGCCAUUAGACAAGAACCUCCAACUAAAUAUGACAUCAUGUGCGAAAUCAAGAGUUGGGUGGUGGAUGAAAAAGAAACACGUACAUGAAAAUCUCGACCGGAAUGAAAAAGAGAAGUUCUGGAUUCUUACGGUUUGCCUUAUUUGUGGGUUUUCAAGAUGGCUGCUUGUUUCUCAAGUUUACACCAUAAACCUGGAGGAAGUCUACAUCAGGGAAAACAACAAAUGGAAAUGCCGACACUUUUUACCUCCCGACCCUUCCCCUUCCGCUGCAUGCCAAGAAGAUUUACUGAUAAGGCAAGCCUCACAAAGACUCCAGUGGCCCCCAGUGUUCGGGGGCCUCCUCCUCCCCGUGUGUGUGUCGGUGUCGCCGGCGCGGCCAGCUGAGAGCUUUGUGCUACAGGAUCCCAGCGGCAGCGUCGAUGGAGAUGCUGCUUUUGCAGCCUGCGUUAGGAAAAACAGCACAAUUUAAGGCAGGAAGUGACGCUCCGCAGGCUGCGAGGGGAGAUCCACGCACCUUUUCCCGAAAGGACUUCAUUACCACGGAAGUCAUGCAACGCCAGGAUUUUAGAGAGGAAGGCAGCGAGAACGCCGUGGAGAUGACUCUUCUCCCACUGGAACCAUGCGAAGCCUCCACACGCCACAGCGCAGACUCAACUAGGAGUCGUCCGUGAAGAUUGAUGGCGACCGCGUAGAAUCGUGUUCCUCCGCCGAAGUCUGGAGGAUCGGCGAGUCGUUCAUACGCGGUCAGCUUUGUUUUGUUCUUCACGAAAUGAGCGUAAUUCUUCUCAGUUGGCAUCAUGGCUCCACGUCUUACAAUGCAGAUGUUAGACCAGAACUAACGUCUCACUCUGGAUUGGGACUCUCCACAAAUGUGCUCCAAUGCCAGUCAGCUCAAAAGAAGCAAGAAAAGUAGCAGACAUAAAUGUUUAACUCUGCAAAAAGUCAGUGUUCUGAGCAAGGGUUUGAUUUUGAGAUUGGU